AUUUCAUCAAGAGCAGUCGAGGGAAUGGCCUUAUGACACUGCGGCAACCCCCAUACGGGAUAGGUGCUACGUCCAGCGGAAAAAUCCGGCAGAUGAACA
rnacentral:ncRNA from 2 species